rnacentral:rRNA from 1 species
GACGAACCGUGCAAACGUUAUUCGGAAUUACUGGGCGUAAAGGGCUCGUAGGUGGCCAACUAAGUCAGACGUGAAAUCCCUCGGCUUAACCGGGGAACUGCGUCUGAUACUGGAUGGCUUGAGUUUGGGAGAGGGACGCGGAAUUCCAGGUGUAGCGGUGAAAUGCGUAGAUAUCUGGAGGAACACCGGUGGCGAAGGCGGCGUCCUGGACCAACACUGACACUGAUGAGCGAAAGCCAGGGGAGCAAACGGG